AUCCCUACGGGACACAGCAGUGAGGAAUAUUGGUCAAUGGGCGCGAGCCUGAACCAGCCAAGCAGCGUGAAGGAUGACUGCCCUACGGGUUGUAAACUUCUUUUAUAAAGGAAUAAAGUGAGGCACGUGUGCCUUUUUGUAUGUACUUUAUGAAUAAGGAUCGGCUAACUCCGUGCCAGCAGCCGCGGUAAUACGGAGGAUCCGAGCGUUAUCCGGAUUUAUUGGGUUUAAAGGGAGCGUAGAUGGGUUGUUAAGUUAGUUGUGAAAGUUUGCGGCUCAACUGUAAAAUUGCAAUUGCUACUGGC
rnacentral:rRNA from 1 species